rnacentral:lncRNA from 1 species
CAAGUAGUAAUUGCACUCAGGAAGGAUGAAUAAGAGUUUCCUAAUUAAAAGAUGUUUUUCGGGGAGCUUCAGCUUAACAGGGUGACUGCUUUGUCUUAAUUAUUUUCUGUCAGUGUAUAUUUAUGUGGGUGUUUGUCUCUCACUGGUCUGUACUCUGUGAGUGAAUUGUGCUAUCUGUAUUGCUAAUAAAAAGCCAGCUGUAGUUCCGAGAGAAAGGUGUGUGUUAAACUACAGGCCUGCUUGCCAAGCUGCUUACUUCAUCAGGUGUUUUUCUGUUCCAGUUUCAAGCCCUGUUCCUGGUUGCCUCUCCAGGAGAUGAGGGAGUGAUUGUUUGGAAAACUUAGGAAGGAAAAUAGGCUCAGUGGAAUGUGGGGUGAGAUGGAUCUGUGGGAGAGGUGUACGUACAACUGAGAAGCUGCUUAAGAUUCCCUGUGCAGAAACUUAAGAGAAGGAACAAGGUACAACCUUGGGCUGCUCGUGAUCAAGCUUGAUGAAUAUAGAAAUAUUUAACUUUGUAAUCUAGCCAAAUCUCUGCCAUUCCUCACGAGCCCAUGUUCCUAAAUUAAAGAUGCCAGGGUACUUGGUCACCUUUCUGACAGCACACUCACAGGCUCCAGUGUCUUCAGGAACACAAUCAGUUACGACUGCUAAAUACCUGUCUAUGUUGUUUACGUGCCAGAUGACUGCUAAAAGGAGCUGAAGAAAUACUUACAUUUUCAUUACACUUUUUUCCUCCCAAAGCUGGGAGGCUACAUACAUCCUCUGGCCGUGUACCCUUAACUGCACUGCUCCUCCAGGAGCUCUGGUUAGGGAUCCUCAGCCGUUUGACUAGCACUGUAACUGCUCUGGCUCUCAUUGCUGGAGGGUUAGCGCUUCAGCCCAUGCCCUGUCACUAACACAGGGGGUGACGUGCUGGAGUGGACCAGGAUUCCAGCUGUGUGAGCGUCUGACUCUUACUAACCAGGGGUUUAUCUUGGUGACAUUAUAAAGACUGAGCCAGACGAUUACAAGACUCGCUUUCAUUGCAUGGGGUGGACUUCUUUUUCCAGUCAGUACUAAAUUACCAUGCACCAGGCUCCUGUGGUUUAGAGACAAGAUUAAGUUCAGAGUCUCAGUAUGCACAAGUGCUCUGUGUCAACUUUGUAAGUGAUAAUCUCUUCAGAUAGACCCUUUUCCCCGUCUGUGAGACACUGUAUUUUUAGUUAUGCACUCUGUGAGAUGAUGGCCUUGGGAUGUGAACUGAUGCAUAAGUGCAGCAAGCCAUUUCAACAGUUCAGCCAAAUUCUCUUACAAAAGCUGAAGACCGCUUAGCAUUCAAAUAGUUAUUUGAAGUGUGA